CCUACGGGGGGCAGCAGUGAGGAAUAUUGGUCAAUGGACGAGAGUCUGAACCAGCCAAGUAGCGUGAAGGAUGACUGCCCUAUGGGUUGUAAACUUCUUUUAUAAAGGAAUAAAACGAGGCACGUGUGCCUUUUUGCAUGUACUUUAUGAAUAAGGAUCGGCUAACUCCGUGCCAGCAGCCGCGGUAAUACGGAGGAUCCGAGCGUUAUCCGGAUUUAUUGGGGUUAAAGGGAGCGUAGAUGGGUUGUUAAGUCAGUUGUGAAAGUUUGCGGCUCAACCGUAAAAUUGCAAUUGAUACUGGCAGUCUUGAGUACAGUUGAGGUAGGCGGAAUUCGUGGUGUAGCGGUGAAAUGCUUAGAUAUCACGAAGAACCCCGAUUGCGAAGGCAGCUUACUAAACUGUGACUGACAUUGAUGCACGAAAGCGUGGGUAUCGAACAGGAGUAGAUACCCGAGUAGUC
rnacentral:rRNA from 1 species